UGGACUUGGGGAGGAGAUCAGUGAUUGGCGGAGAUCGGUUUGUGGCGUCUUUUUCCCCCUCUCCUCUCCUAGUGCAGUAGAGCGGCAACAGGAAGAACUCGGGAACGAUGAGAAGAGCAGCGCUUCGUUGUGUGCAGAGAGGACAGUAUAUGUAUAGAAAGUAGAGACGGAACGAUGGCAUCGAGCGGCGCAACAGCAUCGCAACAGGCGGAAAGAUCAGAAAGGGCCGAUCGAAGGGAAUACGGACCGAAUGCGACGACGCCGUGACUCCCGAGAGAGAGAAAGAGAGGGAGGACGCCUUGUCAGACAUGUGGAGAGGCUGAAGUGCGCUUCACCUCUCCGUCCAGCUAAUUUGCAUGUUUAAGUUGACCUGAGGCAGAGGAUUGACCAACAAGGAACAGUGAGACUCCUCUAAUGGCACGCUGCUCUCUGUCUACCUGAAAACACCUUGGUUCGGCCACCGUCUGCAACAGGCCGUCGAGUUGAUGCAUUGCACCACCCUGCUGUUCUCUUUUUAAACAAAGACCUUUUAAGUUUGGAGUCUUUAAAUCAUUUUAAUAAACUGUACACAAUGCAAAAAAUC